rnacentral:rRNA from 1 species
UACGUAGGGUGCAAGCGUUGUCCGGAAUUAUUGGGCGUAAAGAGCUCGUAGGCGGUUUGUCGCGUCGAAUGUGAAAACCCGGGGCUCAACUCCGGGCCUGCAGCCGAUACGGGCAAGCUAGAAUUCGGUAGGGGAGACUGGAAUUCCUGGUGUAGCGGUGAAAUGCGCAGAUAUCAGGAGGAACACCGGUGGCGAAGGCGGGUCUCUGGGCCGAAAUUGACGCUGAGGAGCGAAAGCGUGGGGAGCAAACAGG